AGGGGCGCAGCUCAGUGGUAGAUUAUCUGCUUCGCCUGCAGAAGGUUCCAGGUUCAAUCCUUGGCAUCUCUA